rnacentral:lncRNA from 1 species
ACGACGCAAUUACGUCAACCUGCCGCUGGUUAACCAAGAAUUCUGCAGCUGCAAAAUUGUGACUUGUCACCGGCUGAUGAUCUGCCAAAACCAGCAAAGACAACGUAGGUCCCAUUUGAAUCUCUUCAUUUUAAAGGAAUUGGAAUCUACUUAAUGGAGUAGGCUAAUUUAUCUUGGAAUGUAGCAUUCCAUAACUUUUCAAAGUUUAGAUAUAAGCCUAUCUUAAAUUUAUGGGGUGGGAGAUGGAAAUUGAUUCUAUAAAUUAUGAUUAUUAGAAUGGAAUUCAAUUCUUAUAGCACGCUCUUGGACUCGCUUCCCUAUAGCAGAAGUGCAGCACAUAAGUAUCUCUCCCAUAUCGCCAAUAAUAAUAUAAAUACAUUCCACGUACAAUUAUAUUAGUUUAAUUAAUUUGUGUCUAAAUUAUAAUUAGUAGAAUGGAAUUCAAUUCCAUUCCAUGGAUCUAAACGGGACCUUAAAGAAAUCGACUGGUUAACGAUGAGAAGCAACGAGUAAUCGAUCAUGAUGCAUGCACCAUGUGAACAGCUGAUUUUCCCCGGUCAUAUUUUUCAGACAUGCGCUAAAGAAAUCGAUCACGUCUAGUCCAACGACUUGGCUCACAUAUGGUAUUGCUCGGUCAUCCUAC